rnacentral:rRNA from 1 species
UGGGGAAUAUUGGACAAUGGGCGAAAGCCUGAUCCAGCAAUACCGCGUGAAUGAUGAAGGCCUUAGGGUUGUAAAGUUCUUUUAGUAGGAAAGAUAAUGACGGUACCUACAGAAAAAGCCCCGGCUAACUCCGUGCCAGCAGCCGCGGUAAGACGGAGGGGGCUAGCGUUGUUCGGAAUUACUGGGCGUAAAGAGCGCGUAGGCGGAUUUACAAGUUGGGAGUGAAAUCCCGGGGCUUAACCUCGGAACUGCUUCCAAAACUGUUUAUCUUGAGUAUGGUAGGGGAUGAUGGAAUUCCUAGUGUAGAGGUGAAAUUCUUAGAUAUUAGGAGGAACACCGGUGGCGAAAGCGAUCAUCUGGACCAUAACUGACGCUGAGGCGCGAAAGCGUGGGGAGCAAA